rnacentral:rRNA from 1 species
GUCGACGAACCCUUCGGGGUUAGUGGCGGACGGGUGAGUAACACGUUAGUACCUGCCCUCUAGUGGGGGAUAACUGCCCGAAAGGGUAGCUAAUACCGCAUGUGAUCACUUGUGAUCAAAGCAGAAAUGCGCUAGAGGAGGGGCUUGCGUCUGAUUAGCUUGUUGGCGGGGUAAUGGCCCACCAAGGCGAUGAUCAGUAGCUGGUUCGAGAGGAUGACCAGCCACACUGGGACUGAGAUACGGCCCAGACUCCUACGGGAGGCAGCAGUGAGGAAUCUUCCGCAAUGGACGAAAGUCUGACGGAGCAACGCCGCGUGCAGGAUGACGGCCUUCGGGUUGUAAACUGCUUUUAUUUGGGAAGAUUAUGACGGUACCAAAUGAAUAAGGACCGGCUAACUACGUGCCAGCAGCCGCGGUAAUACGUAGGGUCCAAGCGUUAUCCGGAAUUACUGGGCGUAAAGAGUGCGUAGGCGGGUGUCUAAGUGCAAUGCGAAAUCCUAUGGCUCAACCAUGUGGACUGUAUUGCAUACUGGAUACCUAGAGGAAUGCAGAGGCAAGUGGAAUUACCGGUGUAGCAGUGAAAUGCGUAGAUAUCGGUAGGAACACCAAUGGCGAAGGCAGCUUGCUGGGCAUUAUCUGACGCUAAGGCACGAAAGCGUGGGGAGCGAACAGGAUUAGAUACCCUGGUAGUCCACGCCGUAAACGAUGCACACUAUUAGUAUGGAGUAUCGACCCUCUGUGCUGAGAAGCUAACGCGUUAAGUGUGCCGCCUGGGGAGUACGAUCGCAAGAUUAAAACUCAAAGGAAUUGACGGGGCUCCGCACAAGCAGUGGAUCAUGCGGUUUAAUUCGAUGAUACGCGAUACCUUACCAGGCUUGACAUCCCUAUCGUACCCCUAGGAAACUAGGGGGUCAGUUCGGCUGGAUAGGUGACAG